CCCUUAGAUGUUCUGGGCCGCACGCGUGCUACACUGAGUGGAUCAGCGGGUCAGGUUGCGCGAAAGUGUUUCCUAAUCUUUAAAUCCGCUCGUGAUGGGGAUUGACGGUUGCAAUUUUCCGUCAUGAACGAGGAAUACCUUGUAAGCGCGGGUCAUCAUCCCGCGCUGAAUACGUCCCUGCCCUUUGUACACACCGCCCGUCGCUACUACCGAUUGAACGUUUUAGUGAGGCAUUUGGACCGACGCAUCUCAGUUUAACCGCUGGUUUGUGUUGGAAAGACUUCCAAACUUGAGCGUUUAGAGGAAGUAAAAGUCGUAACA
rnacentral:rRNA from 1 species